AUUACAUUGUACAACAAACAACAAGAUGAAGCUCUUAUCAGUUGUGUCUGCCUUUGUGCUCGGUCUUCUGGCUCUUUCCAGUGCCGUUCCCCUCUCGCCCGACUAUACCAUUAACUACGAUGGAGCCUGCACAAACUGUCUGUUUGUCAACGGCGGUUUGAAUAAUGUUAACAUCCGAAUUUAAGAUAUACAAUUUUAAUAAAACUUAUUUGAUACACGACA